rnacentral:rRNA from 1 species
AAGGCCCUUCGGGGUACUCGAGCGGCGAACGGGUGAGUAACACGUGAGUAACCUGCCCCUGACUCUGGGAUAAGCCCGGGAAACUGGGUCUAAUACCGGAUACGACCGGCUCUCGCAUGAGAUGCUGGUGGAAAGUCUUUUCGGUUGGGGAUGGACUCGCGGCCUAUCAGCUUGUUGGUGGGGUAGUGGCCUACCAAGGCGACGACGGGUAGCCGGCCUGAGAGGGCGACCGGCCACACUGGGACUGAGACACGGCCCAGACUCCUACGGGAGGCAGCAGUGGGGAAUAUUGCGCAAUGGGCGAAAGCCUGACGCAGCGACGCCGCGUGGGGGAUGACGGCCUUCGGGUUGUAAACCUCUUUCAGCAGGGACGAAGUUGACGUGUACCUGCAGAAGAAGCGCCGGCUAACUACGUGCCAGCAGCCGCGGUAAUACGUAGGGCGCAAGCGUUGUCCGGAAUUAUUGGGCGUAAAGAGCUCGUAGGUGGCUGGUCGCGUCUGCCGUGAAAGCCCGCAGCUUAACUGCGGGUCUGCGGUGGAUACGGGCCGGCUAGAGGUAGGUAGGGGCAAGUGGAAUUCCUGGUGUAGCGGUGAAAUGCGCAGAUAUCAGGAGGAACACCGGUGGCGAAGGCGGCUUGCUGGGCCUUACCUGACGCUGAGGAGCGAAAGCGUGGGGAGCGAACAGGAUUAGAUACCCUGGUAGUCCACGCUGUAAACGUUGGGCGCUAGGUGUGGGGAUCUUCCACGAUCUCCGUGCCGGAGCUAACGCAUUAAGCGCCCCGCCUGGGGAGUACGGCCGCAAGGCUAAAACUCAAAGGAAUUGACGGGG